rnacentral:rRNA from 1 species
UAAAGCAAUCGGCAGCUAUACAUGCAAGUCGAACGGAUCUGAGUUCUUCGGAACUCAGGUUAGUGGCGCACGGGUGCGUAACGCGUAUGCAACCUACCUUCCACUGGGGGAUAGCCCGGGGAAACCCGGAUUAAUACCGCAUAUGACCACAUGAGGGCAUCCGAGUGUGGUAAAAGCCGAGGCGGUGGAAGAUGGGCAUGCGUGCCAUUAGCUAGAUGGCGGGGUAACGGCCCACCAUGGCGACGAUGGCUAGGGGUUCUGAGAGGAUGGUCCCCCACACUGGUACUGAGACACGGACCAGACUCCUACGGGAGGCAGCAGUAGGGAAUAUUGGGCAAUGGCCGAGAGGCUGACCCAGCCAUGCCGCGUGCAGGAAGAAGGCCUUCUGGGUUGUAAACUGCUUUUGUAUGGGAAGAAAACGCCCCUGCGGGGGUAACUGACGGUACCAUACGAAUAAGCACCGGCUAACUCCGUGCCAGCAGCCGCGGUAAU